rnacentral:rRNA from 1 species
UACGUAGGGUGCGAGCGUUGUCCGGAAUUAUUGGGCGUAAAGGGCUCGUAGGCGGUUUGUCGCGUCGGGAGUGAAAUCCACUGGCUUAACUGGUGGCUUGCUUUCGAUACGGGCAGACUGGAGGUAUGCAGGGGAGAACGGAAUUCCUGGUGUAGCGGUGAAAUGCGCAGAUAUCAGGAGGAACACCGGUGGCGAAGGCGGUUCUCUGGGACGUGACUGACGCUGAGACGCGAAAGCGUGGGGAGCGAACAGG